AUACGUAGGUGGCAAGCGUUAUCCGGAUUUAUUGGGCGUAAAGCGAGCGCAGGCGGUCUUUUAAGUCUAAUGUGAAAGCCUUCGGCUCAACCGAAGAAGUGCAUUGGAAACUGGGAGACUUGAGUGCAGAAGAGGACAGUGGAACUCCAUGUGUAGCGGUGAAAUGCGUAGAUAUAUGGAAGAACACCAGUGGCGAAGGCGGCUGUCUGGUCUGUAGCUGACGCUGAGGCUCGAAAGCAUGGGUAGCGAACAGGAUUAGAUACCCUGGUAGUCCAUGCCGUAAACGAUGAUUACUAAGUGUUGGAGGGUUUCCGCCCUUCAGUGCUGCAGCUAACGCAUUAAGUAAUCCGCCUGGGGAGUACGACCGCAAGGUUGAA
rnacentral:rRNA from 1 species